rnacentral:sRNA from 1 species
ACCCUACAGAGCAUCAAUAAGAAGUUGGAACUGAAAGUGAAAGAACAGAAGGACUAUUGGGAGACAGAGCUGCUUCAACUGAAAGAACAAAACCAGAAGAUGUCCUCAGAAAAUGAGAAGAUGGGAAUCAGAGUGGAUCAGCUUCAGGCCCAGCUGUCAACUCAAGAGAAAGAAAUGGAGAAGCUUGUUCAGGCAGAUCAAGAUAAGACAGAGCAGUUAGAGCAGCUGAAAAAGGAAAAUGACCACCUCUUUCUCAGUUUAACUGAACAGGUAGAGUCAUGAGAGAAAACAACACUUUUAGGCAUUUGCAAGAAAAUAUACGUUGUUCUUUGUAUAAAGAACAUUUUAAUGUUCUUUAAUAUACCUGGAUGUCACUGGCUUUAGGAAAGGGCUCAGAGGAAGCUAUCUGAAAUGAGAUAGCUCAUGGCUUUCUUCAGAAACUGACGAGAGAAGACUUGCCUCUCCCUAUGCAUUCUGCUUGCUCAUUAGCUUAGCAGGCC